rnacentral:rRNA from 1 species
GAUGAACGCUGGCGGCGUGCCUAAUACAUGCAAGUCGAGCGAACAGAUAAGGAGCUUGCUCCUUUGACGUUAGCGGCGGACGGGUGAGUUACACGUGGAUAACCUACCUAUAAGACUGGGAUAACUUCGGGAAACCGGAGCUAAUACCGGAUAACAUAUUGAACCGCAUGGUUCAAUAGUGAAAGGCGGCUUUGCUGUCACUUAUAGAUGGAUCCGCGCCGUAUUAGCUAGUUGGUAAGGUAACGGCUUACCAAGGCAACGAUACGUAGCCGACCUGAGAGGGUGAUCGGCCACACUGGAACUGAGACACGGUCCAGACUCCUACGGGAGGCAGCAGUAGGGAAUCUGCCGCAAUGGGCGAAAGCCUGACGGAGCAACGCCGCGUGAGUGAUGAAGGUCUUCGGAUCGUAAAACUCUGUUAUCAGGGAAGAACAAAUGUGUAAGUAACUGUGCACAUCUUGACGGUACCUGAUCAGAAAGCCACGGCUAACUACGUG